GGUAAUUAUAUGCCAUGACCGAUAGGAUGGUGGAGAUGACAAGACUCGGUGGCUCUGAUUCUGGGUCUGCGGUGCAUACAAAGAUAUCCACACAAGAAUCAUGCAAACCUUUACUCCAAUUUAGAGGACAAGAAAGAUACCUGAACAAUUGGCUGGUGAUUUCUGGAGGUGUUCAAAACAUAUAUUUGGACUAUCUGCUUACCUUGAUAAGUGACCAUUCUUUUGGGGUGCACAAAUCUUGACGCCCAUCUGACUCUGAGAAGUAAGCAGCUGGUGACCUUGGAUCAAUGUUAUAUCUCUUGCAGAAUGGUAUCCAGUGCUUUGCAAAUGAGGAGGCCUCCCACAUAGCAUAGAAAGUGAGAACCGAUCCUCCGUCGUCAGAAAGAUAAACACUUAAUUUUUCAGCUGGGUAAUCAUAUGCCAUGAGCGAUAGGAUGGUGGAGAUAACAAGACUUGGUGGCUCUGAUUGUGGGUCUGCAGUGCAUACGAAGAUAUCCACGCAAGGUAGCCUUUCCCCGUACCUUGCAAAUGACAUACUAGCCGUGUUA